rnacentral:rRNA from 1 species
UACGUAGGUGGCAAGCGUUGUCCGGAAUUAUUGGGCGUGAAGCGAGCGCAGGUGGUUUAUUAAGUCUGGUGUAAAAGGCAGUGGCUCAACCAUUGUAUGCAUUGGAAACUGGUAGACUUGAGUGCAGGAGAGGAGAGUGGAAUUCCAUGUGUAGCGGUGAAAUGCGUAGAUAUAAGGAGGAACACCGGUGGCGAAAGCGGCUCUCCGGCCUGUAACUGACACUGAGGCUCGAAAGCGUGGGGAGCAAACAGG